rnacentral:misc_RNA from 1 species
UUUUUUUUUUUUUUCUAUGGACUGCAUAAAUCUUAUCUUCCAGCCCGGGGGAUAAUCUCUUUUGGCAGCUCAAUCCUCACGGUAAUAAUUUUGCCAAUUCUGCCUAAAAAUCUCUUCAGGUGAUCAAGAGGGCCCCCUUUUUCAGUAGAUGAGAUUAGGAUGAAAGGUAUAUUAUCUCAACGCUUCUUUUCUCUGGCUUGCUCUUCCAAAUUCAAUUUUGGCCUGCGGUAAUGUUGUAAUCAGGAUUUCAUCUCCUAAUUUCUUUUUUUCUAUGAAAGCAAGGGAUGGAAAGUGUUGUUUUAAAUUCUGCCU